CAGUUGUACCAGGUGUUACAUUUCAUAUAUGACAAAAUGAUACAUCUAGUGCAACGGU
ensembl:miRNA mdo-mir-7371n mdo-mir-7371n